UUAAAACAGUUGAGUGUGGUCCCUCCCUGUGCUCUAGCUUCGUGUCUCACGAUGGCUCAAACUUCCGUCACGAUGAUGCCACUCGUCAUGAUGUGAUGUUGCUGGGGAGGGCCAUGUUGCUUGGGUUUGCAGCUUCCAAAACGAGUCUGCAGGGUGCGUUUCAGUUCCAUGAGCUCGUUUCUGGCCGCCGUGGCUGCUCCUGCAUCAUCGGAAAUCUGUUGCUGCAGUGUUGCACUCUGAAGAGGAAUUGUCACAAGGGUUAAUAACCUGCUUGACUGCUUAUGGAACCAGCCUCUCCCGUGUCUCCUGCUGCAGACGUACCUUCUCUUUAAAGCAGGCCUCUGCAUCUUUUCGGUUCUGCUCAGCCAGAUCUUCAUAUUCAGCCCUCAUGUUGUUCAACAUGGCGGUUAGAUCCACUCCGGGGGCCGCAUUCAUCUCCACGUUGAUGUUCCCCCCUGAUGCGUUUUGCAGGACUCCCAUUUCCUGGAAAGGGGUACAUCAGCUCCUCGUUCAGAGCCUCACGCUGUAUUUCCAAGUCGGUUGUAGAAAGUGUCAGCUCAUCCAACACUCUUCGAAGACCGUUGGUGUCAGCCUCAACACUCUGGUGCAGAGCGAGCUCAUUUUCAUACCUUAAAGGGUGCAAAGAUGUUUUAAAUUGAGAUUACACGUGGGUACAAGUUGUAAAGACACGUUGUAUGCCGAGGGGUGGAGUGUUCUGAUUCUGCUUGUAUUUCUGAGGCUCCUUGCCAUGGCAAAUUAUUAAGAUAGUUUGAGAUACCUAUUAGUUUAUAAGUACUAUUUUUUGGUGUUUGUACAAGUGUGGUCAGAGGUCAAUAUUAGGUGUCUUUCUCAAUAACUUGACACCUUCUUUUUUUGAGACAGGGUCUCUCAUUGAACCUGGAACUCAAUCAAUUAGCCCAGACUAGCUGGCCAGAAAGCCCCUCCUGUCUCCAUGGACCAGCAUUGAGAUUAUACAUGUGUGCUGCUGUUCUCUUCUUUUUUUUUAUGAGGAUGCUGGGGGUAGACCCUCAUGAUUUUGUGGCAAACCCUUUACUGACAUCCCAGCCCCUACAAAAACAUUAUUUUAGAGGUGUUAUUUCUUUACAAUUGUUCUUGGCCAUCCAAUAACACAUCAGAAUAAAAUAGUGUCAGAUUUUUUUAAAAAAAUGAUAGAUUUUUUAUAAGGAGGCAUUAAAUUCAACUUCUUUGUUGAUAUAGAGUGGCUUCAUUAAAACAGUUUGUUUUGGGGGGCUGGAGAGAUGGCUCAGUGGUUAAGAGCACUGACUGCUCUUCUAGAGGGCAGACCCACAUCUGAUUCCCAGCAUCCACAUGGCGGCUCACAACUGUCUGUAACUCUGGUUUCAGCGGAUCUGAUGCUCCCUUAUGGCCUCCAAAGGUACCUGGCACACAAGUCAUGCACAGACACACAUACAAAGCACCCAUAUGCAUAAAAUAAAACUCACAAAAUACAGGUUUUAAAGGCAAGAGACACACUCUUUCGUGCAGCUGUAGUCUUUCAGCCAUUAUUAAUAAUAAUUGCUUCACUUUCACCUACUUCAUCUUGAAGUCAUCCGCUGUGAGUCUAGCAUUGUCAUUCUGAAGAAUAAGGUUGGCGUUGCAGGUGGUCAUAGAAACAAUCUGAAUGGACAGAUCAAAGGACAUUCCAGAAUCAGCGUGACUCUGUUGCAAAUGUUUAUAUUGGUAUCUUUAUUUGGAUAUUCAAAGAAACUUGGUAUAACUCAGUAGCAGAGCUCUUGCCUAGAAUAUUAGACAAUAGUAACAGCAAAACAACCAUGGGUAAAAUUCAGAUAAUAAAGAGCCCCACAGAUAAUUUCAUUGUUGUUCAUCAAAAAGUAUGAAUUAAGUAUCAAAAUAAAAAAAUUAGUGCAACAUCCCUGUGGUUCUACACGGUGGUUGAACACUCUGUUAUUGAACUACACCCCUAGCUCUCAUUUCAGUUUUUGUUUUGAGAAGGAUCUCAUUAAAUUAUCCAGGCUGGCUUCAAACUUGUGAUCCUCUGGCUUCAGCCUCUGGUGUGGCUGGGAUUACAGGACUGUAUCACUGGGCCUGCUCGAUUGUAAUGAUUUUGAAGCUAUUUCUCUUUCACUAUUUGAUUGUACAUUUCUAAAAAAAACUUUUAGGCACCCCCUUAACUCCAGGAACAAAGAGUGAGAAAAUUCCACACUCUAUACACUUGGUGAGUACAUUUGAAAUGAGCGAAUGAAUUAAGCUCUUUUAUGAUACUGGAGGUUGAAUUGAGAGUCGCAGCAUGCUGGGCAAAGCUCUACUAUUAUAGUUCUAGCUUUAAAAAAAUGAGCUAGGGUGUCUACGUUUCCAGGCCAGCCUCAGCCUUGUGACCGUCUGUCACAGCCUCUUCAGUAGCUAUGAUGACUGGUGUGUGCCACCACACCCCACUGCCAACUACUUCCUAGGUUUCCUUUGCUUUCAGUUAUGGUUGGUCCAUGCCUAUAGCCACGGCGUGGGACUCUGUUUCUUACCUGUCUUUUCAGAUCCUCGAUGACUGAGAAAUACUUGCCGCAGUCAUAGUUGAGUCCUCGGCCCCUGCCAGGCCCGUAUUUCUCAUACCAGCCCUCGAUCUUCUUCUCCAGGUCAGUGUUGGCCUCCUCCAGGGCGCUCACAUGGUUCAGGUACAGUGCCAGACGGUCAUUAAGGUUCUGCAUGGUCACCUUCUCAUUCCCAGAGAGGAGUCCCGGCUCGUUGUUAAGGAAACCAGUGCUGUUAGCCCUUCCUGAUACCUCAUUGCCAUUGCCAAAGCUUCCUCCAGAAGAGACGCCUCCAAGGGUGCAAGAAAAGCUACUUUCUGCUCCAGGCCCCCCACACACAUUCCCAGCCACAAAGCCUGCCCCUCCCCUGGACAGCCUGACGGACCCAGCCCGGGAACAGACCCGGGAUCCCCCAGAAAAUCGAAAAGACAUAGCACCGGCACAGCACAGCGACCUUCGUCCCCAGAGAGGCACAGAGUCAGUCUAUCUUCCACGGGGGUGACAACCCCACUGUCUUUUAUAGGACUCAAUCCCAGCUACGCCGAUCUGUAAUAAAAUAUUAGUCGUA